rnacentral:rRNA from 1 species
UACGUAGGGGGCAAGCGUUGUCCGGAUUUACUGGGCGUAAAGAGCGUGUAGGCGGCCAAACAGGUCCGUUGUGAAAAACUGGAGGCUCAACCUCCAGACGUCGACGGAAACCGUAUGGCUAGAGUCCGGAAGAGGAGAGUGGAAAUUCCUGGUGUAGCGGUGAAAUGCGCAGAUAUCAGGAAGAACACCCGUGGCGAAGGCGGUUCUCUGGGACGGUACUGACGCUGAGACGCGAAAGCGUGGGGAGCGAACAGG